AACGCGUGGGUAACCUGCCCCUGAAUCUGGGAUAACUUCGCGAAAGCGUUGCUAAUACCGGAUAUUGUCCCUUUUGCUGUGGCAAGAGGGAUGAAAGGUGACCUAUCCAUGGAAGUUGCCGUUUAGGGAGGGGCUCGCGUACCAUUAGCUUGUUGGUGGGGUAAUGGCCUACCAAGGCCGCGAUGGUUAGCUGGUCUGAGAGGAUGAUCAGCCACACUGGAACUGAAACACGGUCCAG
rnacentral:rRNA from 1 species